rnacentral:rRNA from 1 species
UGCCCUGGCAGUCAGAGGCGAUGAAGGGCGUGCUAAUCUGCGAUAAGCGCCGGUAAGGUGAUAUGAACCGUUAUAACCGGCGAUACCCGAAUGGGGAAACCCAGUGUGAUUCGUCACACUAUCAUUAACUGAAUCCAUAGGUUAAUGAGGCGAACCGGGGGAACUGAAACAUCUAAGUACCCCGAGGAAAAGAAAUCAACCGAGAUUCCCCCAGUAGCGGCGAGCGAACGGGGAGGAGCCCAGAGCCUGAAUCAGCAUGUGUGUUAGUGGAAGCGUCUGGAAAGGCGCGCGAUACAGGGUGACAGCCCCGUACACAAAAGCGCAUGUGCUGUGAGCUCGAUGAGUAGGGCGGGACACGUGGUAUCCUGUCUGAAUAUGGGGGGACCAUCCUCCAAGGCUAAAUACUCCUGACUGACCGAUAGUGAACCAGUACCGUGAGGGAAAGGCGAAAAGAACCCCGGCGAGGGGAGUGAAAAAGAACCUGAAACCGUGUACGUACAAGCAGUGGGAGCACCCUUUGGGUGUGACUGCGUACCUUUUGUAUAAUGGGUCAGCGACUUAUAUUCUGUAGCAAGGUUAACCGAAUAGGGGAGCCGGAGGGAAACCGAGUCUUAAUUGGGCGUUAAGUUGCAGGGUAUAGACCCGAAACCCGGUGAUCUAGCCAUGGGCAGGUUGAAGGUUGGGUAACACUAACUGGAGGACCGAACCGACUAAUGUUGAAAAAUUAGCGGAUGACCUGUGGCUGGGGGUGAAAGGCCAAUCAAACCGGGAGAUAGCUGGUUCUCCCCGAAAGCUAUUUAGGUAGCGCCUCGUGAAUUCAUCUCCGGGGGUAGAGCACUGUUUCGGCUAGGGGGCCAUCCCGGCUUACCAACCCGAUGCAAACUGCGAAUACCGGAGAAUGUUAUCACGGGAGACACACGGCGGGUGCUAACGUCCGUCGUGAAGAGGGAAACAACCCAGACCGCCAGCUAAGGUCCCAAAGUCAUGGUUAAGUGGGAAACGAUGUGGGAAGGCCCAGACAGCCAGGAUGUUGGCUUAGAAGCAGCCAUCAUUUAAAGAAAGCGUAAUAGCUCACUGGUCGAGUCGGCCUGCGCGGAAGAUGUAACGGGGCUAAACCAUGCACCGAAGCUGCGGCAGCGACACUGUGUGUUGUUGGGUA